rnacentral:rRNA from 1 species
GAGAGUUAAACAGUACGUGAAAUUGUUGAAAGGGAAACGAUUGAAGUCAGUCAUACCAACGGGAAAUCAACCUUUUGAGCUCGGUCUCGUGGGUUUUGAAGAGUUUCAAAGCCUUCGGAUUCGCGGGAUUGGGAUCUCUUGGUGUACUUUUUCGUACGGUUAGUCAACAUCGGUUUUGAAUGUCAUAAAAUGACUGGAGGAAUGUAGCUUCGAUCUCGUAUUGAAGUGUUAUAGCCUUUGGUAGAUGUGAUGUUUGAGACCGAGGAUUGCAACGGAUACCCUUCAGGGCUAUUCGUCUGAUCUCUGAUACGUUGCCUUGAUGUUGAAAGCUUGCUUAUGAUGUUAGGGUAUUACGGUCAAAAGGUUAGAACGAAUUACAUUCGUUAAGGAUGUUGACGUAAUGACUUUAAACGA